UCACAGGGCCCAAAAGUGAGUGACGAGAAAUCUGUUCAGCUGUUGUGGAAGGUCAGUAAGUUUUUAAUGAAGAUUUGUAAGAAAACCACUGUAUUCAACCAACGCAUUGCUGUCCUUUCUGUCUCUUUAACCCCCCUUGUCUUCUGUUCAUGUCCAAUAAUGGCAUUGAACACUCACACACACACACUGACGCCAAGCCGCCCACACCCACAAAUGUGCAUUUUUGUACACAUCCAUCAUCCAGUUUCACUUUACGUUGGCCAUGUAUAUUCCCAUGAUGCAUCACAGUCCGAGUGUUUAUUUAGCCACCGGCCAAUUAUUCAUGGUCACCUUCAAAGCACAGUCUCGUCCUCUGGGUGGAGUGAUGUGUUUGAAGGGGAGGUGAAGAAGUGUUUUGAUCUUACUUUUUAUGACGAUCAUGUGAAAAUACUUCAUCAUACUGCAUCAACAGUGCAACAGAGUAAUGGAAAAAAAUGUUUUUGGCAUUUAUACACCAAAAAUUUGAAAUGACUGCACGUUAAGGGCAAUUUUUCCACAUAAAGGAAUUUUUAAAUAACAAAAAAGGGAUUCAUAAAUGAGAACUGCCAAAAAAUGUAAUGGAUGGUCCAGUAAUAAUAAUUAAAAAAUAACCAUAAUAUACUUUACAUGUUAUUUUGUACAAUAUGUGUAUAUAAAUAUAUUUAAUUUAAAAAAAAAUAUUUUACUCGAAUAAAGUACAUUCAGUUACGUUCUUAUCUUGACCUUCUGUUUUCUGUUUUCUGGCACUUCAAGUGGUAGUACUUCCUGGGCCGGUGAUGGUUACAAAAUGACGCUGUGUCAAGGCAGACCGUUUAAAACAAACCAGUCUUUUAAACGGUCUGCCGAACUAAACAGUAGCCUGUUUGAGCCGCACGUGUCGCUUCAGUCAGCGUGUUAUUGGAUUUUACGAGAUAGCGCUUUGUUAUUUGCCCUCUAAAUAUGUGCACGAAGACCGUUUGAUUUGAGUUUUAUUUCAUCAAACAUUUUGGGUGUUGCGACUUUUGCCACGUGUGUUUGUGAAGCAGCGGCUUGUAACGAUGACGCAUUUACGAAGACGGCACAAUAUCAUCGAGGGUACAAAUUUAGACGUUGCAUUAUUUAAACGCGCGUACCUGCUCGUGCACGUAUGAUUAAUUAAUUCCCUUCAGAUGUAGCAGCAGACCCAUAUCGCCAUCACCUGUGCCGGUGGACUCCACGACGCCGAGAAGUCCGAAUCAUCUGGUUUCUGUUACGUGAACGACAUCGCCCUGGUCGUUUUAAAGCUGCUCAAGAUAUCGGGGCUGGGAAGGGCAAAUACUACGCGGCCAAAAGAAGAGGUUUAAUGAAGUUGUUCCACUCCUGAUGAUGGGUCCGUUGUCGAAUCCUGUGAGCACAUGUGGUGGUGAGUAUGUGAUCUGUCCAUCUUUACCUGAAAAUGUGUUAAAAUAAAGCUAAGAGUUACUGUUGUAAUUUGACUUGUUUUGAAAUGUGUAUCUAUGGACUUUGUAAAUGUGGAGUG